AUCCAGCUGACGAGUCCCAAAUAGGACGAAACGCGCGUCCUCGAU
rfam:Schistosoma rodhaini strain Burundi genome assembly, scaffold: SROB_scaffold0001228